rnacentral:tRNA from 5 species
GCCAGCUUAGCUCAGUUGGUAGAGCAACGCACUCGUAACGCGUAGGUCGUAGGUUCGACUCCUAUAGCUGGCAUCA